AAGCCCCUGGCCGGUCUGCUUUGCUUUACAUGUGGACAGUGCUUGGAUGAUUUAAUGAGCUAAAUGAGUGUUUUCUGUCUGCUUUAGAACCACUUGUGCAGUUCUGAAUAGCCUGGCACAGAUGUGAACAGCGCAAGAUACUCUGUACCUUGUUCUGAGCCUACUGAAAUUAAAGCUCUCCUGAAAGAGCUGGGUU